UACAGAGGGGGCGAGCGUUGUUCGGAAUUACUGGGCGUAAAGGGCGCGUAGGCGGCCUCUUAAGUCGAACGUGAAAUCCCCGGGCUCAACCCGGGAACUGCGUCCGAUACUGGGAGGCUUGAAUCCGGGAGAGGGAUGUGGAAUUCCAGGUGUAGCGGUGAAAUGCGUAGAUAUCUGGAGGAACACCAAUGGCGAAGGCAGCUCGCUGGGACGUGACUGACGCUGAGACGCGAAAGCGUGGGGAGCAAACAGG
rnacentral:rRNA from 1 species